UACCUUGUUACGACUUCACCCCAGUCAUGAAUCCCACCGUGGUAAGCGCCCCCCUCGCGGUUAGGCUACCUACUUCUGGUGAAACCCACUCCCAUGGUGUGACGGGCGGUGUGUACAAGACCCGGGAACGUAUUCACCGCGGCAUGCUGAUCCGCGAUUACUAGCGAUUCCGACUUCAUGCAGUCGAGUUGCAGACUGCAAUCCGGACUACGAUCGGCUUUCUGGGAUUGGCUCCACCUCGCGGCUUGGCUACCCUCUGUACCGACCAUUGUAUGACGUGUGAAGCCCUACCCAUAAGGGCCAUGAGGACUUGACGUCAUCCCCACCUUCCUCCGGUUUGUCACCGGCAGUCUCAUUAGAGUGCCCAACUUAAUGAUGGCAACUAAUGACAAGGGUUGCGCUCGUUGCGGGACUUAACCCAACAUUUCACGACACGAGGUUGACGACAGCCAUGCAGCACCUUUGUGCCCCUUGCCUUUUGGGCAUUGCCAUCUUUCGGUA
rnacentral:rRNA from 1 species